rnacentral:rRNA from 1 species
AAACUUGAGAGUUUGAUCAUGGCUCAGAACGUACGCUGGCGGCACGCCUAACACAUGCAAGUCGAACGAAGUAGCAAUACUUAGUGGCAGACGGGUGAGUAACAUGUGGGUAUCUGCCCUUUGGCCUGGAAUAACACGAGGAAACUUGUGCUAAUACCGGAUAAGUCUUUACGGAGAAAGCUUUAUGCACCAUUGGAUGAGCCCGCACUUGAUUAGUUUGUUGGUGGGGUAAUGGCCUACCAAGACUGUGAUCAAUAGCUGAUUUGAGAGGAUGAUCAGCCACAUUGGGACUGAGACACGGCCCAAACUCCUACGGGAGGCAGCAGUGGGGAAUCUUGCACAAUGGAGGAAACUCUGAUGCAGCGAUGCCGCGUGAGUGAAGAAGGCCUUUGGGUUGUAAAGCUCUUUCGUCGGGGAAGAAAAUGACUGUACCCGAAUAAGAAGGUCCGGCUAACUUCGUGCCAGCAGCCGCGGUAAUACGAAGGGACCUAGCGUAGUUCGGAAUUACUGGGCUUAAAGAGUUCGUAGGUGGUUAAAAUAGUUGGUGGUGAAAUCCCAGAGCUUAACUCUGGAACUGCCAUCAAAACUUUUUAGCUAGAGUAUGAUAGAGGAAAGUAGAAUUUCUAGUGUAGAGGUGAAAUUCGUAGAUAUUAGAAAGAAUACCGAUUGCGAAGGCAGCUUUCUGGAUCAUUACUGACACUGAGGAACGAAAGCAUGGGUAGCGAAGAGGAUUAGAUACCCUCGUAGUCCAUGCCGUAAACGAUGUGUGUUAGACGUUGGAAAUUUAUUUUCAGUGUCGCAGCGAAAGCAAUAAACACACCGCCUGGGGAGUACGACCGCAAGGUUAAAACUCAAAUGAAUUGACGGGGACCCGCACAAGUAGUGGAGCAUGUGGUUUAAUUCGAAGAUACGCGCAGAACCUUACCAACACUUGACAUGUUCGUCGCGACUCUAAGAGAUUAGAGUUUUCGGUUCGGCCGGACGAAACACAGGUGCUGCAUGGCUGUCGUCAGCUCGUGUCGUGAGAUGUUGGGUUAAGUCCCGCAACGAGCGCAACCCUCACUUUUAGUUGCCAUCAUUAAGUUGGGCACUCUGAAAGAACUGCCAGUGAUAAGCUGGAGGAAGGUGGGGAUGACGUCAAGUCCUCAUGGCCCUUACGUGUUGGGCUACACACGUGCUACAAUGGCAUCUACAACAGGAAGCAAAACGGCAACGUUAAGCAAAUCCCGAAAAGAUGCCUCAGUUCGGAUUGCACUCUGCAACUCGAGUGCAUGAAGCUGGAAUUACUAGUAAUCGUGGAUCAGCGUGCCACGGUGAAUACGUUCCCGGGUCUUGUACACACCGCCCGUCACACCAUGGGAGUUGGUUCUACCUUAAGGCAAGGUUUCAAACCCUUGACCACGGUAUAGUCAGCGACUGGGGUGAAGUCGUAACAAGGUAGCCGUAGGGGAACCUGCGGCUGGAUUACCUCCUUU